rnacentral:tRNA from 1 species
UCCCUGGUAGCUCAGAUGGUAAAGAAUCUGCCUGCAAUGCAGUAGACCUGGGUUCAAUCCCUGGGUUGGGAA